GUGGGGAAUAUUGGACAAUGGGCGCAAGCCUGAUCCAGCCAUGCCGCGUGUGUGAAGAAGGCCUUUUGGUUGUAAAGCACUUUAAGCGAGGAGGAGGCUACCGAGAUUAAUACUCUUGGAUAGUGGACGUUACUCGCAGAAUAAGCACCGGCUAACUCUGUGCCAGCAGCCGCGGUAAUACAGAGGGUGCAAGCGUUAAUCGGAUUUACUGGGCGUAAAGCGCGCGUAGGUGGCCAAUUAAGUCAAAUGUGAAAUCCCCGAGCUUAACUUGGGAAUUGCAUUCGAUACUGGUUAGCUAGAGUAUGGGAGAGGAUGGUAGAAUUCCAGGUGUAGCGGUGAAAUGCGUAGAGAUCUGGAGGAAUACCGAUGGCGAAGGCAGCCAUCUGGCCUAAUACUGACACUGAGGUGCGAAAGCAUGGGGAGCAAACAGGAUUAGAAACCCUUGUAGUCC
rnacentral:rRNA from 1 species